AGAGUUUGAUCAUGGCUCAGGACGAACGCUGGCGGCGCGCUUAACACAUGCAAGUCGAGCGAGAACCAGGGCUUCGGCCCCGGGGACAGCGGCGAACGGGUGAGUAACACGUGGGUAAUCUGCCCUCGGUACUGGGAUAGCCCGGGGAAACCCGGAUUAAUACCGGAUGGCCCUUCGAGUUUUCGAAUUCGAAGGAAAAGGUAGCUUCGGCCUCCGACCGAGGAUGAGCCCGCGGCGGAUUAGCUUGUUGGUGGGGUAACGGCCCACCAAGGCGACGAUCCGUAGCUGGUCUGAGAGGACGAUCAGCCACACUGGGACUGAGACACGGCCCAGACUCCUACGGGAGGCAGCAGUGGGGAAUCUUGCCCAAUGGGCGAAAGCCUGAGGCAGCGACGCCGCGUGCGGGAAGAAGGCCUUCGGGUUGUAAACCGCUUUCAGGAGGGACGAAGCCACUCGGGUGAAUAGCCCAGAGGGUGACGGUACCUCCAGAAGAAGCCCCGGCUAACUACGUGCCAGCCGCCGCGGUAAUAC
rnacentral:rRNA from 1 species